AUUGAACGCUGGCGGCAGGCCUAACACAUGCAAGUCGAGCGGAGCGGCGGACGGGUGAGUAAUGCCUAGGAAUCUGCCUGGUAGUGGGGGAUAACGUCCGGAAACGGGCGCUAAUACCGCAUACUAUCAGAUGAGCCUAGGUCGGAUUAGCUAGUGGGUGGGGUAAAGGCCUACCAAGGCGACGAUCCGUAACUGGUCUGAGAGGAUGAUAAGUCAAACGGGAACGGGGACACGGUCCAGAUCCCUACGGGAGGCAGCAGUGGGGAAUAUUGGACAAUGGGCGAACGCCUGACCCAGAAAGGCCGCGGGUGUGAAGAAGGUCUUCGGAUUGUAAAGCACGUUAAGUUGGGAGGCGUUACCAACAGAAUAAGCACCGGCUAACUUCGUGCCAGCAGCCGCGGUAAUUC
rnacentral:rRNA from 1 species